rnacentral:rRNA from 1 species
CAGUCGCACGAGUUCAGACUCGUGGCGAAUAGCUCAGUAACACGUGGCCAAACUACCCUUCGGAGCACAAUACCCUCGGGAAACUGAGGCUAAUAGUGCAUACCACAGUCCAGCUGGAAUGAGGACUGUGCCAAACGCUCCGGCGCCGAAGGAUGUGGCUGCGGCCGAUUAGGUAGACGGUGGGGUAACGGCCCACCGUGCCAAUAAUCGGUACGGGUCAUGAGAGUGAGAACCCGGAGACGGAAUCUGAGACAAGAUUCCGGGCCCUACGGGGCGCAGCAGGCGCGAAACCUUUACACUGCACGCCAGUGCGAUAAGGGAAUCCCAAGUGCGCAGGCAUAGAGCCUGCGCUUUUGUACACCGUAGGGAGGUGUACGAAUAAGGGCUGGGCAAGACCGGUGCCAGCCGCCGCGGUAAUACCGGCAGCCCGAGUGAUGGCCGAUCUUAUUGGGCCUAAAGCGUCCGUAGCUGGCCGCACAAGUCCAUCGGAAAAUCCACCCGCCCAACGGGUGGGCGUCCGGUGGAAACUGUGUGGCUUGGGACCGGAAGGCGCGACGGGUACGUCCGGGGUAGGAGUGAAAUCCCGUAAUCCUGGACGGACCGCCGAUGGCGAAAGCACGUCGCGAGGACGGAUCCGACAGUGAGGGACGAAAGCCAGGGUCUCGAACCGGAUUAGAUACCCGGGUAGUCCUGGCCGUAAACAAUGUCUGUUAGGUGUGGCUCCCACUACGAGUGGGUGCUGUGCCGUAGGGAAGCCGCUAAACAGACCGCCUGGGAAGUACGUCCGCAAGGAUGAAACUUAAAGGAAUUGGCGGGGGAGCACUACAACCGGAGGAGCCUGCGGUUUAAUUGGACUCAACGCCGGAAAUCUCACCAGCAUCGACU